GUCGUUACAGGAAAGAAACAAACCGAGAGCAGCUGAGAGGUGAUUCAUGAGAAGCUUUUGUUUAGAUUUUUGUUUUUAUUCUACAGGCUGAAUUCAUCGUCCUGCUGAGAAUCCAGAGCAGUUUAAUAAAAGAGCAGAAGUUUCCUGAAGUGUCUCAUCGCGUUAAGAGGAGUCCUGACCUUAAAGGAGACGGUUCAGAGACGCGCAGUCACUUCCUUUUAGAGAAUACGAUGAGAAGAUGCACUGAAAUCUCAGUCGGUUGCCAGGUUUGGUACCACUGUGUCUGAACAGAGACCCAAACUAAAGCUUCAUCUUUCGACAAACUGAUCAGCGGGGGGUUCCCAACACGCCCCACACACGGACCAGGGAGUGACACUCCCACACUGCUGCACCAUUCUGAUGGCGGAUCCAUGAACACUGAUCUGACCUGAACAGUUUUCAGUUCUCAGCUGCCUUUUCCUGUGAAUGUAUGAAUCAUGAUUUUACUAUAUAACUGCCAAACUGUUCCUUCCUGACAUUUACCUGUCUGCAGUCGUUUUCUAUGCUACCUUGUUCCGACCCUGUGACCUGUGAUAUGAUAAAGA